rnacentral:rRNA from 1 species
AAGCUCGUAGUUGAAUUUCGGGGUUCUACCGUUGGUCGGGCAAUAGUCUGUACUGGCGUGUAGAAUUUCUACCUUCUGGGGAACUAUCAUGUUAUUUAUUUAGCGUGGUAGGAAACCAGGACCUUUACCUUGAAAAAAUUAGAGUGUUCAAAGCAGGCUUACGUCUGAAUACAUUAGCAUGGAAUAAUAAAGUAGGACGGUGGUCCUGUUUUGUUGGUUUCUGAAUCACCGUAAUGAUUAAUAGGGAUAGUUGGG